CCUACGGGGGGCUGCAGUGGGGAAUAUUGGACAAUAGGGGCAACCCUGAUCCAGCCAUGCCGCGUGUGUGAAGAAGGCCCUCGGGUUGUAAAGCACUUUCAGUGAGGAAGAACGCCUGGUGGUUAAUACCCAUCAGGAAAGACAUCACUCACAGAAGAAGCACCGGCUAACUCCGUGCCAGCAGCCGCGGUAAUACGGAGGGUGCGAGCGUUAAUCGGAAUUACUGGGCGUAAAGCGCGCGUAGGUGGCUUGAUAAGCCGGUUGUGAAAGCCCCGGGCUCAACCUGGGAACGGCAUCCGGAACUGUCAAGCUAGAGUGCAGGAGAGGAAGGUAGAAUUCCCGGUGUAGCGGUGAAAUGCGUAGAGAUCGGGAGGAAUACCAGUGGCGAAGGCGGCCUUCUGGACUGACACUGACACUGAGGUGCGAAAGCGUGGGUAGCAAACAGGAUUAGAUACCCGUGUAGUC
rnacentral:rRNA from 1 species